CGUGUCUCUGUGUCUGUCUCUUUGUGCUUUUGUGACUAUGAAUCUAUGGGUUGUGUGAGCCCAGGUCUGGAUCCAAGGCCCGAGAGUGUUUGUUGUGAAGCAGGUCCAGUGAGAGUCCACGUUGUAGCAGUCCUUUCUGGGCUGAGGUCAGCGUUGUGUGAGAAGGACAGGUUGGAUUGUGAGGGGAAGCCUUAAGCCCGCAUGCCUGGCUUGGGGUGGUAUAUUCAUUCUUUCUUUGGAUAUGUCCUCGUCUUCUGCUCAGGGUGCCGGGCGACCUGGAGUUGGGAUUGCGGACUUGAUCUUCCCGGACCUUCUGAGGCCUCGGUCGUGGACAGAUGGCGGCUGGAUGACUCUUUGGCCCAGCAUCAGCCUAAAGUCCCAUUGAAGGGAUGCAAGAGAUAGCAAGCUGUGUGCACGAGGUGCCGGGCGACCUGGAGUUGGGAUUGUGGACUUGAUCUUCCCGGACCUUCUGAGGCCUCGGUCGUGGACAGAUGGCGGCUGGAUGACUCUUUGGCCCAGCAUCAGCCUAAAGUCCCAUUGAAGGGAUGCAAGAGAUAGCAAGCUGUGUGCACGAGGUGCCGGGCGACCUGGAGUUGGGAUUGCGGACUUGAUCUUCCCGGACCUUCUGAGGCCUCGGUAGGUGGACAGAUGGCGGCUGGAUGACUCUUUGGCCCAGCAUCAGCCUAAAGUCCCAUUGAAGGGAUGCAAGAGAUAGCAAGCUGUGUGCACGAGGUGCCGGGCGACCUGGAGUUGGGAUUGCGGACUUGAUCUUCCCGGACCUUCUGAGGCCUCGGUCGUGGACAGAUGGCGGCUGGAUGACUCUUUGGCCCAGCAUCAGCCUAAAGUCCCAUUGAAGGGAUGCAAGAGAUAGCAAGCUGUGUGCACGAGUAAGUAGGACGAGGUUUCCUGGGCUCUUCUUGUCAUCUCCCAUCGGAGC